UACAGAGGUCUCAAGCGUUGUUCGGAAUCACUGGGCGUAAAGGGUGCGUAGGCCGCACGGAAAGUCAGAGGUGAAAUCCCGGAGCUCAACUUCGGAAUUGCCUCCGAUACUCCCGUGCUUGAGGACUGGAGAGGAGUCUGGAAUUCACAGUGGAGCAGUGAAAUGCGUAGAUAUUGUGAGGAACAUUAGUGGCGAAGGCGGCUUUCUGGACAGUAACUGACGCUGAGGCGCGAAAGCUAGGGGAGCAAACAGG
rnacentral:rRNA from 1 species